GAAAUGCGAUAAUUAAUGUGAAUUGCAGAAUUCAGUGAAUCAUCGAGUCUUUGAACGCACAUUGCGCCCCCUGGUAUUCCGGGGGGCAUGCCUGUCCGAGCGUCAUUGCUGCCCUCCAGCACGGCUUGUGUGUUGGGCUUCCGUCCCUGGCAACGGGGACGGGCCCAAAAGGCAGUGGUGGCACCAUGUCUGGUCCUCGAGCGUAUGGGGCUUUGUCACCCGCUCCCGUAGGUCCAGCUGGCAGCUAGCCUCGCAACCAAUCUUUUUAACCAGGUUGACCUCGGAUCAGGUAGGGAUACCCGCUGAACUUAAGC
rnacentral:misc_RNA from 1 species